AGACGGGGCCGCACAAGCGUGGAUGAUGUGGAUUAAUUACGAAGCAACGCGAAGAACCUUACCAGGUCUUGACAUCCCGAUUGCUAUUUCUAGAGAUAGAAAGUUACUUCGGUACAUCGGUGACAGGUGGUGCAUGGUUGUCGUCAGCUCGUGUCGUGAGAUGUUGGGUUAAGUCCCGCAACGAGCGCAACCCCUAUUGUUAGUUGCCAUCAUUCAGUUGGGCACUCUAGCGAGACUGCCGGUAAUAAACCGGAGGAAGGUGGGAUGACGUCAAAUCAUCAUGCCCCUUAUGACCUGGGCUACACACGUGCUACAAUGGUUGGUACAACGAGUUGCGAGUCGGUGACGGCGAGCUAAUCUCUUAAAGCCAAUCUCAGUUCGGAUUGUAGGCUGCAACUCGCCUACAUGAAGUCGGAAUCGCUAGUAAUCGCGGAUCAGCACGCCGCGGUGAAUACGUUCCCGGGCCUU
rnacentral:rRNA from 1 species